UACGUAGGGUGCAAGCGUUGUCCGGAAUUAUUGGGCGUAAAGAGCGUGUAGGCGGCCAGGUAGGUCUGCUGUGAAAACUCGAGGCUUAACCUCGAGCUGUCGGCGGAAACCAUCUGGCUAGAGUCCGGAAGAGGAGAAUGGAAUUCCCGGUGUAGCGGUGAAAUGCGCAGAUAUCGGGAAGAACACCCGUGGCGAAGGCGGUUCUCUGGGCAUGUCCUGACGCUGAGGAGCGAAAGUGUGGGGAGCGAACAGG
rnacentral:rRNA from 1 species